CCCUUUAAAGUAAGCUUCAAGGAUAUACAUAAUGUGUCUCUUCGGUCUGACGGAGCCACAUUUGCUCCGAGGAACCUUUACUUCUUCUCCUUAGAGAUUCUUUGGUUUGGAUUCUCAAUUGGGAAGCCAUUGCUUUGCGGUGUACAUAGACUGGAAUGUUAGCACGUGCUGUCGGGGAGAAGAAAUACUUGAAAAUAUGCCAUUUAAAUGCUGUGUAACUGGUUGUCGGGGAAAUUAUAAAGGUACUGAAAAGGUGCAUACAUUUUCCUUCCCAAAAAUGAUGCUCUUAGAGAGAGGUGGCUAAGAAAUAUACCUAGGAAGGACUUCUCAGCAACUCCAUAUUCUCAGGUGUGCCAUAAACAUUUUCAACCUGAUGACCUCAUCUGGGAAACAUCAGCUUU